UUUGUGGCCUUUUUCCGCUGGACGAACUUGGCUCCCCGGCCUUCAGGCGGUUAUUUUGGGGCGCGGCUGUGCCCGCCAGCUAUUUUUGGCACACGGAGGCGCCUCGCAAAGUCUCGCGCCAUUCCAAGUCCGGCGGACGAAGUUGGCCGGCCCCACCCCCCGAGGCUAUAGCCCACCCGUUUUUGUGGCCUUUUUCCGCUGGACGAACUUGGCGCCCCGGCCUUCGGGCGCUUAUUUUUCGGUACGGCUGUUCCCGCCACCUAUUUUUGGCACACGGAGGCGCCUCGCAAAGUCUCGCGCCAUUCCGAGUCCGGCGGACGAAAUCGGCCAGCCCCACCACCCGAGGCUAUAGCCCACCUGUUGUUGUGGCCUUUUUCCGCUGGACGAAUUUGGCGCCCCGGCCUUUGGGCGGUUAUUUUUGGGCGCGGCUGUGCCCGCGGCCUAUUUUUGGCACACGGAGGCACCUCGCAAAGUCUCACGCCAUUCCGAGUCCGGCGGACGAAGUUGGGCAGCCCUACCCCCCAAGGCUAUAGCCCACCCGUUUUUGUGGCCUUUUUCCACUGGACGAACUUGGCGCCCCGGCCUUCGGGCGGUUAUGUUGGGGCGCGGCUGUGCCCACCACCUAUUUUUGGCACACGGAGGCGCCUCGCAAAGUCUCGCGCCAUUCUAAGUCCGGCGGACGAAGUGGGCCAGCCGACCCCCCGAGGCUAUAGCCCACCCGUUGUUGUGGCCUUUUUCCGCUGGACGAAUUUGGCGGCCCGGCCUUCGGGCGGUUAUUUUUGGGCGCGGCUGUGCCCGAGGCCUAUUUUUGGCACACGGAGGCACCUCGCAAAGUCUCGCGCCAUUCCGAGUCCGGCGGACGAAGUAGGCCGGCCCCACUCCCCGAGGCUAUAGCCCACCCGUUUUUGUGGCCUUUUUCCGCUGGACGAACUUGGCGCCCCGGCCUUCGGGCGGUUAUUUUUGGGCGCGGCUGUGUGCGAGGCCUAUUUUUGGCACACGGAGGCNNNNNNNNNNNNNNNNNNNNNNNNNNNNNNNNNNNNNNNNNNNNNNNNNNNNNNNNNNNNNNNNNNNNNNNNNNNNNNNNNNNNNNNNNNNNNNNNNNNNCCUCGCAAAGUCUCGCGCCAUUCCGAGUCGGCGGACGAAGUUGGCCGGCCCCACCCCCCGAGGCUAUAGCCCACCCGUUUUUGUGGCUUUUUUCCGCUGGACGAACCUGGCGCCCCGUCCUUCGGGCGGUUAUUUUUGGGCACGGCUGUGUGCGAGGCCUAUUUUUGGCACACGGAGGCACCUCGCAAAGUCUCGCGCCAUUCCGAGUCCGGCGGACGAAGUGGGCCGGCCCCACCCCCCGAGGCUAUAGCCCACCCGUUUUUGUGGCUUUUUUCCGCUGGACGAACUUGGCGCCCCGUCCUUCGGGCGGUUAUUUUUGGGCGCGGCUGUGCCCGAGGCCUAUUUUUGGCACACGGAGGUGCCUCGCAAAGUCUCGCGCCAUUCCGAGUCCGGCGGACGAAGUUGGCCAGCCCCACCACCCGAGGCUAUAGCCCACCCGUUGUUGUGGCCUUUUUCCGCUGGACGAAUUUGGCGCCCCGGCCUUUGUUCUGUUAUUUUUGGGCGCGGCUGUGCCCGCGGCCUAUUUUUGGCACACGGAGGCGCCUCGCAAAGUCUCGCGCCUUUCCGAGUCCGGCGGACGAAGUUGGCCAGCCCUACCCCCUAAGGCUAUAGCCCACCCGUUUUUGUGGCCUUUUUCCGCUGGACGAACUUGGCGCCCCGGCCUUCGGGCGGUUAUUUUGGGGCGCGGCUGUGCCCGCCAGCUAUUUUUGGCACACGGAGGCGCCUUGCAAAGUAUCGCGCCAUUCGAAGUCCGGCGGACGAAGUCGGCCGGCCCCACCCCCCGAGGCUAUAGCCCACCCAUUUUUGUGGCCUUUUUCCGCUGGACGAACUUGGCGCCCCGGCCUUCGGGCGCUUAUUUUUGGGUACGGCUGUUCCCGCCACCUAUUUUUGGCACACGGAGGCGCCUCGCAAAGUCUCGCGCCAUUCCGAGUCCGGCGGACGAAGUCGGCCAGCCCCACCACCCGAGGCUAUAGCCCACCUGUUGUUGUGGCCUUUUUCCGCUGGACGAAUUUGGCGCCCCGGCCUUUGGGCGGUUAUUUUUGGGCGCGGCUGUGCCCGCGGCCUAUUUUUGGCACACGGAGGCACCUCGUAAAGUCUCGCGCCAUUCCGAGUCCGGCGGACGAAGUUGGGCAGCCCUACCCCCCAAGGCUAUAGCCCACCCGUUUUUGUGGCCUUUUUCCGCUGGACGAACUUGGCGCCCCGGCCUUCGGGCGGUUAUUUUGGGGCGCGGCUGUGCCCGCCACCUAUUUUUGGCACACGGAGGUGCCUCGCAAAGUCUCGUGCCAUUCUAAGUCCGGCGGAUGAAGUGGGCCAGCCCACCCCCGGAGGCUAUAGCCCACCCGUUGUUGUGGCCUUUUUCCGCUGGACGAAUUUGGCGCCCCGGCCUUCGGGCGGUUAUUUUUGGGCGCGGCUGUGCCCGAGGCCUAUUUUUGGCUCACGGAGGCACCUCGCAAAGUCUCGCGCCAUUCCGAGUCCGGCGGACGAAGUUGGCCAGCCCCACCCCCCAAGGCUAUAGCCCACCCGUUUUUGUGGCCUUUUUCCACUGGAAGAACUUGGCGCCCCGGCCUUCGGGCGGUUAUUUUAGGGUGCGGCUGUGCCCGCCGCCUAUUUUCGGCACACGGAGGUGCAUCGCAAAGUCUCGCGCUAUUCCGAGUCCGGCGGACGAAGUUGGCCAUCCCCACCCCCCAAGGCUAUAGCCCACCCGUUUUUGUGGCCUUUUACCGCUGGAUGAACUUGGCGCCCCGGCCUUCUGGCGGUUAUUUUCGAUGCGGCUGUGCCCGCGGCCUAUUCUUGGCACACAGAGGCGCCUCGCAAACUCUCACGCCAUUCCGAGUCCUGCGGACGAAGUUGGCCAGCCCCACCCGCCAAGGAUAUAGCCCACCCGUUUUUGUGGCCUUUUUCCGCUGGACGAACUUGGCGCCCCGGCCUUCGAGCGGUUAUUUUCGUGCACGGCUGUGCCCGCGGCCAAUUUUUGGCAUACAGAGGCGCCUCGCAAAGUCUCGCGCCAUUCCGAGUCCGGCGGACGAAGUUGGCCAGCCCCACCCCCCAAGGUCAUAGCCCACCCGUUUUUGUGGCCUUUUUCCGCUAGACGAACUUGGCGCCCCGGCCUUCGGGCGGUUAUUUUUUAGCACUGCUGUGCCCGCGGCCUAUAUUUGGCACACGGAGGCACCUCACAAAGUCUCGCGCCAUUUCGAGUUCGGCGGACGAAGUGGGCCGGCGCCACACCCCAAGCCUGUAGCCCACCCGUUUUUGUGGGCUUUUUCCGUUGGACGAACUUGGUGCCCCGGCCUUCGGGCGGUUAUUUUUUGGCGCGGCUGUGCCCGCGGCCUAUUUUUGGCACACGGAGGUGCCUCGCAAAGUCUCACGCCAUUCCGAGUCCGGCAGACGAAGUUGGCCAGCCCCACUCCCCAAUGCUAUAGCCCACCCGUUUUUGUGGCCUUUUUCCGAUGGACGAACUUGGCGCCCCGGCCUUCGGGUGGUUAUUUUUGGGCGCGGCUGUGCACACGGCCUAUUUUUGGCACACAGAGGUGCCUCGCAAAGUCUCACGCCAUUCCGAGUCCGGCGGACAAAGUUGGUCAGCCCCACCCCCCAAGGCUAUAGCCCACCCGUUUUUGUGGCCUUUUUCCGCUGGACGAACUUGGCGCACCGGCCUUCGGGCGGUUAUUUUUUGGCGCGGCUGUUCCCACGGCCUAUUUUUGGCACACGGAGGUGCCUCGCAAAGUCUCGCGCCAUUCCGAGUCCGGCGGACGAAGUCGGCCAGCCCCACCCCCCAAGCCUAUAGCCCACCCGUUUUUGUGGCCUUUUUCCGCUGGACGAACUUGGCGCCCCGGCCUUCGGGCAGUUAUUUUUGGGCGCGGCUGUGUCCGUGGCCUAUUUUUGGUACACAGAGGUGCCUCGCAAAGUCUCGCGCCAUUCCGAGUCCGGCGGACGAAGUUGGCAAGCCCCACCCCCUAAAGCUAUAGCCCACCCGUUUAUGUGGGCUUUUUCCGCUGGACGAACUUGGCGCCCCGGCCUCCGGGCGGUUAUUUUUGGGCGGGGCUAUGCCCGCGGCCAAUUUUUGGCACACGGAGGUGCCUCGCAAAGUCUCGCGCCAUUCCGAGUCCGGCGGACGAAGUCGGCCAGGCCCACCCCCCAAGGCUAUAGCCCACCCGUUUUUUGUGGCCUUUUUCCGCUGGACGAAGUUGGCCAGUCCCACCCCCCGAGGCUAUAGCCCACCCGUUUUUGUGGCCUUUUUUCGCUGGACGAACUUGGUGCCCCGGCCUUCGGGCGGUUAUUUUUGGGCGCGGCUGUGCCCGCGGCCUAUUUUUGGCACACGGAGGCGCCACGCAAAGUCUCGCGCCAUUCCAAGUCCGGCGGACGAAGUAGGCCGGCCCCAUCCCCCGAGGCUAUAGCCCACCCGUUUUUGUGGCCUUUUUCCGCUGGACGAACUUGGCGCCCCGUCCUUCGGGCGGUUAUUUUUGGGCGCGGCUGUGUCCGAGGCCUAUUUUUGGCACACGGAGGCACCUCGAAAAGUCUCGCGCCAUUCCGAGUCCGGCGGACGAAGUGGGCCGGCCCCACAGCCCAAGCCCGUAGCCCACCCGUUUUUGUGGGCUUUUUCCGUUGGACGAACUUGGCGCCCCGGCCUUCGGGCGGUUAUUUUUUGGCGCGGCUGUGCCCGCGGCUUAUUUUUGGCACACGGAGGUGCCUCGCAAAGUCUCGCGCCAUUCCGAGUCCGGCGGACAAAGUUGGCCACCCCACCCACCAAGGCUAUAGCCCACCCGUUUUUGUGGCCUUUUUCCGCUGGACGAACUUGGCGCCCCGGCCUUCGGGCAGUUAUUUUUGGCCGCGGCUGUGUCCGUGGCCUAUUUUUGGUACACACAGGUGCCUCGUAAAGUCUCACGCCAUUCCGAGUCCGGCGGACGAAGUUGGCAGGCCCCAGCCCCCAAGGCUAUAGCCCACCCGUUUAUGUGGGCUUUUCCCGCUGGACGAACUUGGCGCCCCGGCCUUCGGGCUGUUAUUUUUUGGCGGGGCUGUGCCCGCGGCCAAUUUUUGGCACACGGAGGUGCCUCGCAAAGUCUCGCGCCAUUCCGAGUCCGGCGGACGAAGUCGGCCAGCCCCACCCCCCAAGGCUAUAGCCCACCCGUUUUUGUUGCCUUUUUCCGCUGGACGAAGUUGGCGCCCCGGUCUUCGGGCAGUUAUUUUUGGGCACAGCUGUGCCCGUGGCCUAUUUUUGGCACACGGAGGCACCUCGCAAAGUCUCGCGCCAUCCGAGUCCGGCGGACGAAGUUGGCCAGCCCCACCCCCCAAGGCUAUAGCCCACCCGUUUUUGUGGCCUUUUCCAAUGGACGAACUUGGCGCCCCGGCCAUCGAGCGGUUAUUUUUGGGCGCGGCUGUGCCCGCAGCCUAUUUUUGGCACACGGAGGCGCCUUGCAAAGUCUGGUGCCAUUCCGAGUCCGGCGGACGAAGUUUGCCAGCCCCACCCCCCAAGGCUAUAGCCCACCCGUUUUUGCGGCCUUUUUCCGCUGGACGAACUUGGCGCCCCGGCCUUCGGGCAGUUAUUUUUGGGUACGGCAGUGCCCGCGGCCUAUUUUUGGCACACGGAAGUGCUUCGCAAAAUCUCGCGCCAUACCGAGUCCGGCGGACGAAGUUGGCCGGCCCCACCCCCCGAGGCUAUACCCCACCCGUUUUUGUGGCCUUUUUCCACUGGACGAACAUGGCGCCCCGGCCAUCGGGUGGUUAUUUUUUAGCGCGGCUGAGCCCGCGGCCUAUUUUUGGCACACGAAGGCGCCUCGCAAAGUCUGGCGCCAUUCCGAGUCCGGCGGACGAAUUGGCCAUGCCCACCCCCAAGGCUAUAGCCCACCCGUUUUUGUGGGCUUUUUCCGCUGGACGAACUUGGCGCCCCGGCCUUCGGGCAGUUAUUUUUGGGCGCGGCUGCGACCGCGGCCUAUUUUUGGCACACGGAGCUGCCUCGCAAAUUCUCGCGCCAUUCUGAGUCCGGCGGACGAAGUUGGCCAGCCCAACCCCCCAAGUCUAUAGCCCACCCGUUUUUGUGGGCUUUUUCGGCUGGACGAACUUGGCGCCCCGGCCUUCGGGCCGUUAUUUUUGGGCGCGGCAUCGCCCGCGGCCUAUUUUUCGCACACGGAGGUGCCUCGCAAAGUUUCGCGCCAUUCUGAGUCCGGCGGACGAAGUAGGCCAGCCCCACCCCCCAAGGCUAUAGCCCACCCGUUUUUGUGGGCUUUUUCCGCUGGACGAACUCGGCGCCCCGGCCUUCGUGCGGUUAUUUUUGGGCACAGCUGUGCCCGCAGCCUAUUUUUGGCAUACGGAGGCGCCUCACAAAAUCUCGCGCCAUUCCGAGUCAGGCGGACGAAGUUGGCCAGCCCCACCCCCCAAGGCUAUAGCCCACCCGUUUUUGCGGUGUUUUUCCGCUGGACGAACUUGGCGCCCCGGCCUUCGGGCAGUUAUUUUUGGGCGCGGCUGUGACCGCGGCCUAUUUUUGGCACACGGAGCUGCCUCGCAAAUUCUCGCGCCAUUCUGAGUCCGGCGGACGAAGUUGGCCAGCCCAACCCACCAAGUCUAUAGCCCACCCGUUUUUGUGGGCUUUUUCGGCUGGACGAACUUGGCGCCCCAGCCAUCGGGUGGUUAUUUUUGGGCGCGGCUGAGCCCGCGGCCUAUUUUUGGCACACGAAGGCGCCUCGUAAAGUCUGGCGUCAUUCCGAGUCCGGCGGACAAAGUUGGCCAGUCCCACCCCCCAAGGCUAUAGCCCAACCGUUUUUGUGGGCUUUUUCCGCUGGACGAACUUGGCACCCCGGCCAUCGGGCGGUUAUUUUUGUACGUGGCUGUGCCCGCGGCCUAUUUUUGGCACAUGGAGGCACCUCGCAAAGUCUCGCGCCAUUCCGAGUCCGGCGGACGAAGUUUGCCAGCCCCACCCCCCAAGGCUAUAGCCCACCCGUUUUUGUCGCAUUUUUCCACUGGACGAACUUGGCGCCCCGGCCUUCGGGCGGUUAUUUUUGGGCGCGGCAUCGUCCGCGGCCUAUUUUUCGCACACGGAGGUGCCUCGCAAAGUUUCGCGCCAUUCUGAGUCCGGCGGACGAAGUUGGCCAGCCCCACCCCCCAAGGCUAUAGCCCACCCGUUUUUGUGGGCUUUUUCCGCUGGACGAACUCGGCGCCCCGGCCUUCGUUCGGUUAUUUUUGGGCACAGCUGUGCCUGCAGCCUAUUUUUGGCACACGGAGGCGCCUCGCAAUGUCUCGCGCCAUUCCGAGUCCGGCGGACGAAGUUUGCCAGCCCCACCACCCAAGGCUAUAGCCCACCCGUUUUUGUGGCCUUUUUCCGCUGGAUGAACUUGGCGCCCCGGCCUUCGGGCUGUUAUUUUUGGGUACGGCUGUGCCCGCGGCCUAUUUUUGGCACAUGGAGGCGCCUUGCAAAGUCUCGCGCCAUUCCGAGUCCGGCGGACGAAGUUUGCCAGCCCCACCCCCCAAGGCUAUAGCCCACCCGUUUUUGUCGCAUUUUUCCGCUGGACGAACUUGGCGCCCCGGCCUUCGGGCGUUUAUUUUUGGGCGCGGCAUCGCCCGCGGUCUAUUUUUCGCACAUGGAGGUGCCUCGCAAAGUUUCGCGCCAUUCUGAGUCCGACGGACGAAGUUGGNNNNNNNNNNNNNNNNNNNNNNNNNNNNNNNNNNNNNNNNNNNNNNNNNNNNNNNNNNNNNNNNNNNNNNNNNNNNNNNNNNNNNNNNNNNNNNNNNNNNNNNNNNNNNNNNNNNNNNNNNNNNNNNNNNNNNNNNNNNNNNNNNNNNNNNNNNNNNNNNNNNNNNNNNNNNNNNNNNNNNNNNNNNNNNNCCCCCAAGGCUAUAGCCCACCCGUUUUUGUGGCCUUUUUCCACGGACGAACUUGGCGCCCCGGCCUUCGGGAAGUUAUUUUUGGGCGGGGCUGUGCCCGUGGCCUAUUUUUUGCACACGGAGGCACCUCGCAUAGUCUCGUACCAUUCCGAGUCCGGCGGACGAAGUUGGCAAGCCCCACCCAAAAAGGCUAUAGCCCACCCGUUUUUGUGGCCGUUUUCCGCUGGACGAACUUGGUCCCCCGGCCUAUUUUUGGCACACGGAGGCCCCUCGCAAAGUUUCGCGCCAUUCCGAGUCCGGCGGACGAAGUUGGCCAGCCCCACCCCCCAAGGCUAUAGCCCACCCGUUUUUGUGGCCUUUUUCCGCUGGACGAACUUGGCGCCCCGGCCUUCGGGCGGUUAUUUUUGGGUGCCGCUUUACCCGCGGCCUAUUUUUUGUACACCGAGGCCCCUCGCAAAGUCUCGCGGCAUUCCGAGUCCGGCGGACGAAGUUGGCAAGCCCCAUCCAAAAAGGCUAUAGCCCACCCGUUUUUGUGGCCGUUUUCCGCUGGACGAACUUGGUCCCCCGGCCUAUUUUUGGCACACGGAGGCCUCUCGCAAAGUCUCGCGGCAUUCCGAGUCCGGCGGACAAAGUUGGCCAGCCCCACCCCCUCAAGGCUAUAGCCCAGCCCAUUUUUGUGGCCUUUUUCCGCUGGACGAACUUGGCGCCCCGGCCUUCGGGCGGUUGCUUUAGGGCGCGGCUGUACCCGCGGCCUAUUUUUGGCACACGGAGGCACCUCGCAAAGUCUCGCGCCAUUCCGAGUCCGGCGGACGAAGUUGGCCAGCCCCACCCCCCAAGGCUAUAGCCCACCCGUUUUUGCGGGCUUUUUCCGCUGGACGAACUUGGCGCCCC
rnacentral:lncRNA from 1 species